rnacentral:rRNA from 1 species
UGGGGAAUUUUGGACGAAUUGGGCGAAAGCCUGAAUCCAGCAAUGCCGCGUGUGUGAAGAAGGCCUUCGGGUUGUAAAGCACUUUUGUCCGGAAAGAAAUCCUUGGCUCUAAUACAGUCGGGGGAUGACGGUACCGGAAGAAUAAGCACCGGCUAACUACGUGCCAGCAGCCGCGGUAAUACGUAGGGUGCAAGCGUUAAUCGGAAUUACUGGGCGUAAAGCGUGCGCAGGCGGUUUGCUAAGACCGAUGUGAAAUCCCCGGGCGUCAACCUGGGAACUGCAUUGGUGACUGGCAGGCUAGAGUAUGGCAGAGGGGGGUGAGAAUUCCACGUGUAGCAGUGAAAUGCGUAGAGAUGUGGAGGAAUACCGAUGGCGAAGGCAGCCCCCUGGCAAGUACUGACGCUCAUGCACG